rnacentral:rRNA from 1 species
CCCUUAGAUGUUCUGGGCUGCACACGUGCUACACUGGCAGGUUCAGCGAGCUUCAUGCCCUGAUCUGAAUGGAAUGGGAAAUCUUUUCAAAACCUGCCGUGCUUGGGAUAGAUGUUUGCAAUUAUUCAUCUUCAACGAGGAUUGCCUUGUAAGCGCACGUCAUCAGCGUGCAUUGAAUACGACCCUGUAUUCUGUACACACCGCCCGUCGCUCCUACCGAUUGAAGUUUUCGGUGAGUUGACAGGAGGAUUUUUUUGAAACUGGUUCGCCAGUGGAUUUUAGAUCCAAAUGCCAACGAAUCGAUGGCUUUAGAGGAAGGAGAAGUCGUAACA